CGGCUCUGUCCUGCAGGACAUCCUGUCUGCUGAGUACUAGACACGAGUGCCUACUGUGUGCCAGGCGCUGGCCUGAGAGCCGCGGGCUGCGCAGGGCCAGCUGGUGACCUUCAGGCCGCUGCGAUGCCCCGGGGACAGGCCCCCAGUCUGCCCAGAGUGUGGCUGGGUAAACUGAGGCAGACUCUGCAAUCCUGCGCCCCAGGUGUGUCGGGGAGAGGUCCGGGUGGCCCUGGCCCCAUGGCCUCCCCGCUCUCCUGCCUGAGUCCCCGACCUGCCCGGCAGCCACUCCCUUCCGCUGGUUUCCAGGGCUGCAGGACGCCCCAGGCCUGGCGCGCGGCAGUCCACUCCCAAGAUGCACCGGGGCAAGGCACGCAGAGCCGAGAGUCACCCUCGUGCCACCGCCUCCCAGCAUCAGCCACCGUCCCCUGGACGGCUGAGCCGGCCCCAGGCCCCGGCUCUCAGGGACUGGAGACCAAGGGCUGCAAGAGACAGAGGCACAUCCUGCAGGGACAGGCGGAGGUGGCCAGGGCACGGUGGGGCACAGGGGGCAAGCCGGCCCAGGGGACGGGGCAGGCCGCUUCCGCAGCCAUGCUGAGCUGGGCCCCAAACGUGUCCCCUGGCCGUGGGUGACUUCACCCCAGCCUCAGUUUCUUCUGUAAGAUGAGCCAUGCCGACGUCCACCCUGGCUCAGGGCCACCCAGUCUCGAUCAUUGACCCUUUCCCCAGACUUCAGUCCUCGGGGACACCAAUGUGCUUCCGCAACGAUGUCACUUCAGGCUGUCCACUCUGUCGCUUCCUCGGCCUCUGGUGUCGCUGACUCCAAGCCGAGACUAGGGUUCGAUGAACAGACACAGGGGACAGUGGGGAGGCCGGCUCAGCCGGGGGUGGUGCUGCCCACCAGGGGUCUCUCACUCGCCAGCAGGUGCUGGUGAUCAGGUGCUCGGGACCCUCAGAGCGCCCACCUGGUGACUCCCUGGAAGCAGACUGAGAAAUGAACAGCUUGGGUGGACAGUGACGCCCGGCUUGCCCACUGCACGGAGCCUGGGACCGUCUGGCCCCCUGGUGAGAAGCUUGAGGCCCCAGGGGGCGGCCCAGAGCCCCCACCAUGGUGGUCCUGAAGGCAAGGCCAGCUGCGCCUCAGACCCUGCUUGUGACAUCCAGUACAGCCCUGCCCAGUGGACAGUCCAGGCAGCUGGCAGGAGGUAGAAGGUCCUGAUCUGUCACCACUGGGUCCCCAGGGAAGGCCCCGGAGCGCCCUGGUCUCCGGGUGCCGCAGGCAGUGCCUCUCCAGGCAGAAGCUGGGUUUAAGGGCCGGCCCAGCACCUCCAGCGGUGUGUCUUGGGGACUCCACGGCCCGUAAUCAUCCAGGAGCACUUGGGGUCGCUGUUAGCCAUCAGCCCUGCCACCUCCAAAGACAGCUCUUGUGGUUAAAAGGUGUCGCCAGAGGAGAUGCGCUGCAGUCCCCGCCCGGGGCCCCAGAGUGUGGCCUUGCGUGGAGACAGGGUUCUCAGAGGUCAGCGGUCAAAACGAGGCCUGGUCCCACAUGACUGGUGUCCUUACCCAAAGGGGACCCGGCACAGAGAGGCACCCGGAGGAGCUGGGAAGGUGCCGUCUGCAGGCCAAGGGCGAGGCCCAGGGGGCGCGAGGCCCACGGGUCCAUUCACCCUCCUCCGAGCCGGGGGCGGUGCUGACAGGCACCCCGGGAACCAUCCGGGUCUAGCCAAAACUCAGUGCGAGAAGCAGAGGGUCCCCGGGGGCUCCCGGCCGUGCUGUCCUGCUGCCCAGCGCGGGCACUGCAGUGCCUCCCCGCGAGGCUGCGCGGCCUCCUCCCUGGCUGGUGGGGGCUGUGGCCAGGCGGAGGUGACCGGCGGCCAGCAGGUUGCGCCCGGCAAGGCCCCAAGCGCCCCAGCAGGAAGCGGGACCGUCCGGCCUCCCUGAUCUGCUUGUUUUGCGGCGGGGAGCCCGCCAUGGCGGCGGAGGUUGUGCUUCACGUGUGCGAGGCCCUGGGGACCCUGACCUGGGUCAGUGUCCAGCGCGCGCGGGCACACGAUCACACACUCAUACUCACACUCACACACACACACACACACACACACACUCAGGCAAUGAUCCAGGCUCAUGGGAAAUGGCAAACUUAAUCCAGAGCUGUCCCUGUCCCCUGCGCCCGGCGUGUGUGUCCCCUGUGAGCGUGGAGCCCGCGGAGCCAAGGGAGCCGCAGACCUCGAGCUGCACAUGUCCAUCUGCCCCCUCACCCAGGGGCCCCAGCCCCCCACUCCCCGCGGGGCCCUCCACCACGCGGCCUCCUCCGGGUGUACGGAGCCGCCGCCCCGAGUGCGAGGCCUAAAGAAGCCCUUUUCCAGGACCGUGUGGACUGCCCGCCCCACUCGUGGGCAUUUCUCCACGAGAAGCUGAGCCGUCAUCCACGAGGGACCCCAGCAGACGCUCACGAUCCGGCCCACGAAGGACGCUCUUCUGCGAAAGCAGCGCCCUCGCAAAGACAGCAGCGCCAUGCCGCCGCCGGAGCAGGACAGGAAGGAUCCAAGUCAGGAUUCAGUUGUUCGAGCAGAGGCAAGGUCUGCAGGGCCGAAUCAGGGGAGGGGGCACCCUUGUGGCACCUGCAGAGGAGGCGAGCGAGUUCUCUCCUCACCCUCCUUUCUCAAAUUUGGGUUAUGGUAAAUGACCUGGGCUUAUACAUAUGCAAAUAUAUGCACUCACUUAUAUUAAAACAAUGAAGAAUAAGCCAAAAACUUGCAUUAAAGGUAGAAUAUGAUAGGUAAUGUCUUUGCCUUGCUUUUUGUCACAGAGCAUUUUGGAAGCCUUUCCCAUGAGUCCUCCUAACUGAUCCUUUUCACAGCUGUAUAAUACUCCCCUGUACAGUUGUACCUCGUCAAUUCAGUCCCCUUUACUUGUAUAUUUGGGAUUAAAGUAUUACCAAUA
rnacentral:lncRNA from 1 species